CCUGUUUGGGGAGCAGCAAAAUGGGAACAAAUGAGCUAUCAGCAGUGUCUCAACCACCAGAGAUCAUACCUCAAUCUUUCGGACACCAAGACGAAAGAAGUGAGAACAAAACUCCCUCAAAAUCCUCUUUGAAGAAAAGAAAGAGAUCCCCCAGAUUUUCAACUACGAUUUUCGACCUAAAUUUCGAAACAGAAUUCGAGUUCCCAAAGCUUUUUCUAAACACAAUUUCUAGACCCUCCAAUUCUUCCCCUCUUAGAACCCUAGAGUCAAGACAAAAAAAAAACUCCUCCUCACAGUGACCUGAUCGGUCUUUAUAUAGGGCUCCAAAUUCGGGGGGUAUCUAGGUGUGUUGAAAGGGGAGUAAUUCAAAAUUUCACUCGAAUCAGGCUACCCCUAACAGAUUGUACCCCUUUGUACCAAAUUCUUGGAUGAUUCCUAAAUAGGUGGACCAAUCACCAUUGGAAAAAAUGAAUCCCCCCUUCCAACCACUAAAAAACACCCAAAUAUGUACCAGAUUCAUACCCCUAUCCCAAAAUUCAUAGAAUUGAACGUUGGAGGACACCUCAACACUAUUCUAGAAGGUUCGAAAUUCCUUGACGUACGCAUUCACAUGGGGUCAUGCAAUCCAUACGAACUGAUGGUGAAAGGAUGUAUUUGGGUUUUUUUCAGGUUGAAAAUGGGUCGAGCUUGGGUCGAUGGAUUUGGGGUCGAUUUUGCGAUUGUUGCUGUUGUUCUCUGAUAUUCGAUGUUGCUCGCCGUUGUUUGAGCGUAUUGUGAAGAGAAGGGCUGAAGGAUAAUCAGGUAUUUAGAGUUGAAGGGACCGAGUUUCACCAUUGUUGGGGAAUGGGUCAUUUGGUUGAGAUCGUUUGUGGCUAAGGGUUUGAGAGUGGGUGUUGUUGAGAAGAUAAGGGGGGUUUGGACCGGGUUCUUGAGAGUAUUGGGCCAAUUUGGGGGCUGGUAUUGCUGAUUGGAAAAAAUGAAGGGGAAUGGGCCACUGGAGUUGGUUGUUGCUUGGGCCCGGAAUUGUUAGUGUUGGGCCUGUUUAAUUGAAAAGGGAGAAAUGGGCUACUGUUUGAAGAAAAUAUGAAAUGGGCCCAGGUGUUUGGCAAAAUUGAGUUUAAAAUUGGGAUGGAUAGUUUAGAAAAAUAGUUUCAAUUAACAUUUAACCCAUUCUUAAUUAAAUUUGAUCAAAUUAAAGGCUAAUUGGCCAAAUGUAUUGCGAUUGUGGCCAAUUUUAUUUUCAAUUUAUGAUCAAAUUUAAUAGAUUGAUUAAAUUGAAUUGAAAUUAAAUAAGAAUUAAUACUUCUUUUAAUCCCGAGUUUCUUGAAUUAAUAAAACCAAACAAAUAAUUCUCCAAAUAGAUUAUUUGUGAGAAUAAAUUAAAUUUAAAUCAAGAUUUAAUUAUUUAAAUUUAUUUUCCAAAUAAUCCUUAAUUUAAAGUCCAAUUUUGAUGAAAAUGUUCAUUUAAAUGACAUCAUUUGUACAAUACAAAUACGAAAAUAAAUAAUUAUCACCUGAAUGACAAAAUUAGCCCAACUACCUAUUUUAAAAUGCAUUUAUUUGGAAAAAAUAGGCUUGGGUAUCUAACUCUCAUGUCAUUUUCUGAUUCCCAAGUUGCUUCUUCAACUUUCUGAUUCCGCCACAACACUUUAACUGAGGCUAUCUCUUUGAUCCUCAGCUUUCUCACUUGACGGUAUAGGAUUGCUACAGUUUCUUCUUUGUAAGACAAGGAAUCGGUCACCUUGAUUUCUUCAACAGGUAGCACUAAAGAAUGAUCUCCUAUGCAUUUCUUCAACAUGGAUACAUGGAAUACCGGGCGGACAAAACCCAAAUUUGCAGGCAACUCUAACUCUUAUACAACUCCACCUAUCCUAUUUACAAUCCGGUAUGGUCCUAUAUAGCGAGGACUCAGCUUACCUUUCUUCCCGAAGUGCAUAACUCCCUUCAUGGGAGAAACUUUAAGGAAUACCCAAUCUCCAACCUCAAACUCUAGCUCUCUUCUUCUAACGUCGGCAUAGGAUUUUUGACAACUCUGAGCUGUCUUAAGUUGUUCUCUGAUUAAUUUCACAUCCUUUAUUGCCUGAUGAACAAGAUCUGGCCCAAAAAACCGCGUCUCACCAACUUCAUACCACCCUAUAAGAGACCUGGAUCUCCUCCCAUAUAAUACUUCAAACGGUGUCAUCUUAAUACUGGCAUGGUAGCUAUAAUUGUAAGCGAACUCAACCAACGGCAAAUGAUCUACCCAACUACCUUUAAAAUCUAUUACACAAGCCCGCAACAUAUCCUCAAGGGUCUGAAUGGUGCGCUCAGCUUACCCAUCAGUCUGGGGGAGGAAUGUUGUGCUUAAGUUCACCUGGGUACCUAAACCUUUCUGAAAUGAUCUCCAAAACUGAGAAGAAAAUUGCGUACCUCGAUCGGAUAUAAUAAACACGGGUACUCCAUGCAAAUGGACUAUUUCCUAAAUGUACAACUUCGCAUAAUCAUCUCCCGAAUAAUUAGUCCUCACAGGCAAAAAGUGAGCUGACUUUGUCAACCGAUCUACAAUCACCCAAAUAGAGUCAUUGUCAUGACCCGAGCCGGGGCCCUAGCUGUGACGAGCAUCCCGAACCAUGAAGUCCCGGAACACCCUUCCGAGUCUGGUAAUCAUGCACAAUAUUCAUAUAAUAAAGAUAUGUGGAAAUACAGUUUAAUACGGAAACAUGGUCAAACUCUGAAUAAUAUAAAAUACAAGAAAUAAAACUCAACAAUAUCUGAAUAAAUCUCUGACUCUGUCUGCGAAAUCUCUACUAAAUCUCUACACAAUAUGUCUGAAAACUGGGACAAGGCCCCCAGCCGACCAACACCAUGUAUGCUAAAACAACUAAAGACAAUAAGACCUUCUGGAACAUAGAAGGCUAACCCCUGAACUCUGCAUAAUCUCUUCUGCUGUCUGAACUAUCUACUGCUUGUCUGGACCCCUAGACUGAGCCUCAGAACCUGAGAUGGUUGGAGGGGGGAGGGGGUUAGUACAAAAGUACUGGUGCGCAGAGCAAAUCAAAAUAAUCAUUUAUAAUAAACAUAUAUGAGAGCAGCUUGAAACCGUUCAUAAGGAAUCGUAUAGUAAGAAAUCUCAUGGGCAUUUUAAAAACUUUAUGACAACAUUUGAAAUUUGAGACACUCUUUGUACUACUUCUACGUUAGAUGGUAUUUCAAACACAAGUGUUGAAACUAGCAUUUCAAUAAAUCAAAAUCUCUUAGCAUAUACAUAUAUAUAUAUAUGUAAAACUCAAUUUAAGGGGAAAAAGGCCACAAGGCCAAAACAGUCCCAAUAAUAAAACUCUUGGAAUAAGAAAUCAGUAAUAUAGCUUUCAAACCCCCAUUAAAUACAUAUUUUAACAAUUUCAAACCCAUGUAGUUUUUAGGACAAACCCCGUGUACCUUAGUUGUGAAGAAUUCACGAAGAAAUUUUGGAACGAUCGGACCUUCAAGCUUAUUUUCUCAAACCCUAGUUGCUUCUCCUCUUAAGUUCUUGAAGGAUGAAUUUUGGGAUAUUAUGGGAGGCUUCAAUGUUGUUAAUAGGCCUAAAUCCAUUUGGGAGUGAUUAAGGAUGAUUUUGGGUUUUGUAAGGGCUAAAUUGCACUUAAAAUAACUCAAAACGAAGUGUUUUUGUCUCCUGAAACCAUAAGUGUGCGCCGCACUUUGCAUCGCAUAGAUUAAGGUAUGCGCCGCAUUGUGUAUCGCAUAGAUUAAGAUAUGCGCCGCAUUGUGUAUCGCAUAGAUUAAGAUAUGCGCCGCAUUGUGUAUCGCAUAGAUUAAGAUAUGCGCCGUAUUGUGUAUCGCACAUCCAUUCCAGUUGCUAUGUGCGAUUGGUUAGGCGACGCACUCUACUUUGAAAAACCAUAACUUCUUGCUCGGGUGUCGGAUUUUAGCAAAAUUGGUAUCGUUGGAAAUUUAACUUGAAGACCUAUCAUUUGACACACAGUAGGCUCUCUAAUUCGACAUAUACAGAGAGUUAUGGUCGAUGGAAGCUGACACAAAUUACAACGUCCACUAAAACUUAAUCGAUGGAAGAUGACAUUUCGUGAGAUUCAUAUUGUACCAUCAGGUACAUAUUGAUAUUACUUGAGUUUUACGUGCAUGAGGUUUCAAUCUUAAUCCCUGAUAGAAGAAGACGAUUGCAGUUGGAUGUAAGCUCAAUUUGCCUGAUUUUUGAACUUGUCAGUGAGGGUCCUAACGCAACUAGGAGCAAGGGUAGAUAUGCAAAAUUUUCAAGAAUUGGCACUGCUAUAAUGCGUUUGCAGAUUAGCAAUGAUUCAGUGGAAGCACAUAUGGUAACUACAGAUGUGCUGAUCAACAGGACUGAAGGAAAUAUGCAGAUGCAGAAUAUUGAAAGGAUUGAUUUCCGAAACUUGAGAAGAGGAUUAGGGACUUUGAAAAUAUCAUUGAUGGAAAGGUUCCAAGGCUCGGGACAAGGUGAAAACAAGAAAAGCUAAACUAUAGCAUUGAUGCUUCUAUUGUAGUUUCUUUUCUUUGUUCAAGAAGUUAGUGGUAGUUUUUCUCUAUUGCCUAGUUAUAGGUGAGAUUUAGAUAAUGUUACUGUCUCACUAUCCUCUUGCUAAGAUAAUUUUAUUGAAGUAGUGGAAUGAAUUAUAAUUAUCUCAGCUAAUUAUAAUGCUUUUAUAAUGCUUCAUGUCACUAGUUUAGUUGUUCAUUUAGAUCUUUCUCACUUUUCUUCUCUGCAUUGAAGACUGUAACAGGCUCGAGUAAAAUAUUGCAUAUUACAACGGGAAGUUCUCUCUAAAACCAAGAGCAUCUGCCUUCGCUGAGCAUGAAACUGAAAAUAUUCCAAAAGAACCAAGAGAACACAUUCUUUGUUGUUACAUCAUCGAUAAGCACACACUGUAAAUCCUAAACCUCAAAAUCAAACUAUAGAGGCAAAAGAUGUGCAACUAUCACUAUAAUGUCAUCACGCUUGCCACCAAGACGAAGUUUUCCGACUUUGGAGCACUCUCUAGCAAAAGGUGUAGAAAUCCUUGCAUUUUCUGAAUUCUGCAGUGGUUAUUCUGAGCUACGGUACGGGAAGUAGCUCCUGCAACUCCCACAGCAAUCAAAUAUGCCACUAAUGAUGAUGUACAUUAUUUAAACUUUCCGUGCAUGAGCUUUCAGUCCUAUGCCCUGAUAGAGGAAGAAGAUUAAAGUUGGCUGACUACAUAAAAGGGGGGGGAGGGGGUAAUUAUUUUUUAUAGAAAAAACUUGAAUUCGCAUCACUAUUAAUCAUUUGAUAUAAUAUUUAAGGAUUCAACACAACACAUAGUAUAUUACUUAAACUUUACGUGCAUGAGCUUUAAUUUCAAGUCCCGAUAAUGGAAGAUUGCAAUACACUACCUGCUAAUGUAAAAAGGUGAACUUGUGACGGAACUACAAAACAAAAUACUACAUGUCGUAAGAUUCAUAUUGUACCAUCAGGUACAUAUUGAUAUUACUUGAACUUUACGUGCAUGAGGUUUCAGUCUUAAUCCCCGAUAGAAGAAGACGAUUGCCGUUGGCUGAAUGUCAACAUAAAACUGGUAAAUUUGUGCCGGACAUAACAAAAGAAACAUGACAACCCUUCUAAUUAGGACAUAUAUUCACUCAAUAAUAUUUUAUUAAUUCAUAAUGUGAUUUGAGAACUUAUUACAAAAACAUUCUAAAAGGAAUACACUUAUCAAUAUUUUUGGUUUCCCACCCAUGCGAGGUUACUCACAUUGACCCAACUAAAUCUGAAUUUGCACCGAGAAGUCCCACAUUGGAGGUAAAGGAGCUCCCUAACAAAGAAUACCAAAAAAUUUUGAAUUCUCAAAAAUUAGUUCCUAAUUUUCCCGUCUAAGGUGAACCUUGCAGCAACGGUCACCGGAGAAAGAGUCCUAAGAUAAAAGACUAUUUAUCUUAUGUCCUGCUUCUCAGGUGCAAAAACAAGAAUGCACCCCCCCACCCUUUUUUUUGGCCCCUUUACAUAUUUUUGUGAUGAAAUGAAUAAAAUAUUUCCAUUUAAAAGAAAAUAUACUUUUUAAUUAUAGCCAAGAAUUUCGACAUUUUGUUGACAACGUAUUUUUAAUAUGUUUGACUUAACUGUAAAGCUAGUUUACAAGACAUGAUAUGGGACACAUAAUAUGUCAAGACCAUUAGCUACUUCUAAUACAAUCUUUGCCAAUAUAUUGUUUAACUAUUAUAACACCAUGACAAAUUUCAUCAACACGUAAUUAUCCACGUGUGCAAAUUUCAAUCUUCACCUCCUCCCCUCAGUUAUCUCCAAUCAUGAAAUAUGAUAAAUGAUUCGAAACCAAUGAACUAGUUUGUGAAGAUUUUACCAAGAACAUAGUCAUCAUGGAAAUUCACACUUAAUACCAAGAAAGGCAACUUUGGUUUAUAGGAUGUGCACAGUAACUAAAGUAACGACAACAUCAACAUACUGGUAAAAUCCCACAAGUGGGGUUUGGGGAGGGGAGAACGUACGCUGACCUUAUCCCUACCUCGUGGAGGGAGGUAGAGAGGCUGUAUUAAAGCAAGAAGAGUAAAAGAACUAUCAUGGUACCUAUUUAAGUCAGAUUCUGUUUUAACAGAUUGCAAACAUGAAUCAGCAUUAGAAAAUUGACAAAAGCAACUUUUGCAUCAGAUAUGUUGAUAUGGACUUUUGCAUCCAUAUGGAUAUGAAAAUCAAUGAAAUAGAAUCAGGGACCACGUUUGAUCUACAACAUUGAAUUCCUAUUCCAGAAUUAGUUCAUGUAAACAAAAAUAUAUCAUUUUAGUGUCUGCUUACGUCCUUGCAAUACUGUCAUUUAAGUGAAGAUGUUCCAAUAACUAUCUGACGGUAAGACUUGUUUGAUCUUUUUCGAGUGUCCCUUGAACAUCACCAAUCUGAUCAUAGAAACAACCAAUUUAAUGCACACAAAAACACAUGCAUCUUUUUUUUCGGUAGCAAUGUAAAUAUUACCAUUAAUAAACAACAAAGAGAGAAAUACACCUAUGAAUUUAUGAUCACCGGCCACCUUCUAGGAAGAGUGCUGUGGACUUCACACGUCAAAGAGCAGCAUUAAUUACAUUUGUAAUCUAUGCAAGAACCCUCUGCAUCUAUGAACUUCACUAUAAAAGUAAGUUCUCUCCAAGUGCGGUAAAUCAGAGCCUACAAAAUACGAGCAACUAUCUACUUUUGAAUCAUCUUCCAACUCUUUCUCCUGAUGCAAUCCAACAUAUCUCCAGCCCAUUGCAGCACCUCAGUUCUUGAUCAUCACACAAGCUGCAGUGCAGGUCAGACAUUGGGAUCUGCAGUAUAGCUCCUUACCUGAAGGUUGCACCAGCAAUUCCAUUAUAUGAAGGUUAAUUCAAAAUACAAAGAUCUGAAGAACUAUGCAAAAACAAAUCAAAGAGAGUGUAAAGAGAAACUUGAAAUAGCUAAACCAAGCAACAACUCUGGAGCAAGUAAACUACAUAUAAGGAAAAUAAACAGGCAAUAGUAAUCGUACUAUGUUGAGUCUAGAAUCUCCUGCGUGAGGCAGCUGAUCUCUCAAGCUCACGAAGAUAAAGUUCUAUAUCCUCUAUAACAUCAUCACAGAUUGUUCUUUCCCCUCCUCCCUGCUAGCCUACAACAAGAUUGUGGGCUGUACUGUUAUUCUCAGUUCUGUCAUGUUCACAGUCGGUGUGCUUCUCCGUUGAACCAGGAGGCGCAACGCUGCGAGCCGCUGAUUGACAAACUUCCUUGGAUAAAUUCUCCUUACCAUAUUCCACAAUGUAGCAGGGAGGAACUACACUGCUACUGCCAUGUGCCUCAGUGGAUGUGUGAACGCCUUUUCCUGCAUUAUGCUUCUCCCGUAAACCAGUAGGCACAACGUCACAAGCUAGUGUUUAUGAAACCACCAUAGACAAAUUCUUCUUGUCAUUUUUCCCACCAGACUUGGGAGGAAAUCCAGGAGGAGCAUCAGGGCACUUUGGAGGAAAUCCAGGAGGAGCAUCAAGGUACUUUGGAGGUAAGCCAGGAGGAGCAUCAAGGUACUUUGGAGGAAAACCAGGAGGAGCAUCAGGGUACUUGCGAGGAAAACCGGGAGGAACAUCAGGGUAAUUCCGAGGAAAACAAGGAGGAGCAUCAGGGUACUUUGGAGGUAAGCUGUCAGGACCCGAGCCGGGGCCCUAGCCGUGACGAGCAUCCCGAACCAUGAAGAUCCGGAACACCCUUCUCUAUCUGGUAAUCAUGCACAACAUUCAUAAAACAAAGAAAAUACGAAAAUAGAAAUCUAAUACGGAAACAUGGUCAAUCUAAAUGUAAUCAUGAUACUUGUAACACCCCACAUUUUUGGGCUAGAACGAAAACCGUCGUUUCUAUGCGUAGAUGAUCCAAAAGCCAUAAAUCCUAUGCAAAUUUGGUAUGUUAUCAAUUAUGUAGUGUAUAAAUCUAUUUGAUCAUUAAUUGAGAUCAUAGAGGUCCCCUAACUCAAGGAUGAGUUGAAAACUUUCCUAACGUUCGAGUUUUAGUGAGCGUCAAAACUUGAGUCAACUUCAAACGACCAUAACUCAUUGUAUAUGACGAACCGGGUGGCCUACUAUCUAUCAAAUGAAAUAUCAUUGAAUUAGCUUUCCAACUAUACCAAUUUCGUUAAAUUCCGAUAAGCGAGUGAGAAGUUAGGACAUCAGAGGCAGUGAGGGGUCGCGAUAACUCCGCGACGCAAAUUUCGCUUGACCUGAAUAGGGUCGUGUUGCGAGGGAUAAUUAACCCAAUUAGGGGUCACGAUGUGGGGCCUAUUCCCACACAGUUUUAGCUUCUAAAGGGUCAAGGGUCAUUUUGGUCCUUUCCCCUCGACCCCAAUCAUCAAAAACACCGAAUUUCAGCCCUCAAUAACCAAAAAUACACUCCUUUCUCUCAAGAGCACUCCCAAGGGUUUCAAACUAAAAGCCAAAAUAGCCCAAGAUUCAACCGUGAGUUUUAGAAGAUAAUUAGAGAUUCAGAAUCCCCAAUCUUCAAGAAUCAUCCAUUAUUCUUCGUAAUCGAGGUACGUAGGGUUUUCCUAAAUUCUCAUGGGCAUAGAAAAAUCAUGUUUUAGAAUGGGGUUUUGAAUUAUGAACAUAUUCAUGUUUUUAGAAGUUUUAAUGACAUUGUUUUGGCCUUCCCUAAAGUGAUUUGACCAUUUAUAUGUAUAUGUAUGUAUGUGUUUCAAUCUUGAGAGCAUGAAUUCCUCGUGUUGUGAGUUUUCCCAUUUUCAUAUGAUACGAAUUGUUUUGAAAAGAAUGAUAUGAUUUUUGAACACGCAAGAGAGGGUUGUGAAUGUUGAAUAUCCAUAUAAUAAAAGAGUGCAUGGAUUUGCCAAAAGCACAUGACCAUCAUAUGUUUGAUGAAAGUUUUGCAUGAUUUUGACUUGAGUUUAGGAACAUGAAAUCUCUUCUGCAAAUUACAUGUUUGGGUGGUCUGAAAACUAUAUUUUUAUGAAAGAUCAUGCUUAUGACAUUAUGGCUCAGAAAUAGGUCUUGCAAGUCUUGGAGUGACGACACCAAUUCAGAUUUUUCCAUGAUAAUUCAGGACAAAUUUAAUGCAUGUUUGAAACCAGACUUUACAGAUGUUGAAAUUAGAAACAUGCAUAAUUCAGAACAGGAUAAAAAUUGGGCAUAAAGAGAGCUUAGGUGGUUCGCCGAAGAAGGCAUGAGUUCAGAAAACUCAUUGCCCAAAACCGUGAUUUGCCGAUCCGGGUUUAUAUAUUACGCUGGCAUAGAGCCCUGUGGCGUAUCAGAUUCAGGAACUCCAACCCUUGCGGUACACUCGGGUUGAAGGCUUCCCCGCCGAGUCAAUGGCGAAUUUCAUAUUACCCGUGGAAUAUCAGACUUGCAGGGGAUACCACCUAACUCAGAAGUAAUACACAGAUCCAAAUUUUAAGUUUACAGACAGGUUAUAUGUUUUCAUGAAGUGCCCAUGCAUUUUCAGAAACUAUUUAUGCAUGAUGUGUUGAUGAAAAUUGCACUCAUCUAUUAUAUAUUUAUAUAUAUAUAUGUUCAAAAACUUUAUUUUGGAUUGCUUCGCGUGCCAGUACAUUUGUGCUGACCCCCUUCCUUUCAGGUUUUGAGACACAGUCUAGGGGUCCAAAUGAAUAGUAGAUAUUUCAGAUCGCAGAUCAGAUUGUGCAGUGGUGAGCCUUCUAUAUUCCAGAAGGCCGAUUUACUUUCAGAUGUUCAUCUUUAGUCAUGUUUUGGUCUACUGGGGGCCUUGUACCAGAUUUCAGAGAGUUGCUAUAAGUCAUGUAGUAGAGAUUUCACAGACGGAUUUCAGAUAUUGAUAGAUGUUGUGGGACUUUAUUUCCCAUUAUUGAUUUUAUUAGAGUUAUGACCAUGUUUCCGUAAUAUUGUGUAUUUUUUACAUUUCUUUAAUCAUAUGAAUUAUGUGCAUGAUUACCAAAUAGAUAGGGGUUUUUCGGGCCUUCAUGGUUCGGGAUGCUCGUCACGGCUAGGGCCUCAGUUUGGGUCGUGACAAUACUGAAAACUGAAAUCCAUAAUAUGUCUAAAUAAUAAUGUCUGACUCAGUCUGCGAAAUCUCUACCAUGAACCAAUCAAAGCUGUCUGAAAGUUGGGACAAGGCUCCCAAUAGAUCAAACCUAACUAAUAGUAGUAAUAUGAAAUAACCAGGCCUUCUGAAUCAUAGAAGGCUUACCACUGCAAACUCCGGUCUGUUAUCUGAAAUCUCUACUGUUUAUCUGGACCCCUAGACUAUGCCUCAGAACCUGGAAGGAGGGGGGGUCAGCACAAAAGUACUGGCACGCGAAGCAGUCCUAAAUAGAGUAAUUGAACACACACAGACACACAGACACACACACACACACACACACAUAUAUAUAUAUAUAUAUAUAUAAUAUGAGAGCAAAGUUUUCAUUAAACAUCAUGCAUAAAAUAGUUUCUGAAAACACAUGGGCAUUUUUUGAAAACAUGUAACCUGGCUGUAAAUUUCAAAUUUCUGAUCUGCGUAUUACUUCUGAGUUAGGUGGUAUCCCCUACAAGUCUGAUAUUCCAUGGGAAAUAUGAAAUUCGCCAUUGACUCGGCGGGGAAUCCUCCAACCCGAGUGUGCCGCAAGGGUUGGAGUUCCUAAAUCUGAUAUGCCACAGGGCUCUAGGCUAGCGUAAUAUAUAAACCUGGAUCAGCAAAUCACGAUUUUGGUCAACGAGUUGUCCAAACUCAUGCCUUCUUCGGGGAACCACCUAAUCUCUCUUUAUGCCCAAUUUUUAUCCUGUUCUGAAACAUGCAUGUUUCUAGUUUCAACAUCUGGAAAGUCUGAUUUCAAACAUGCAUUAAAUCUAUUCUAAAUUAUCAUGGCAAAAUCUGAUUUGGUGUCGUCACACCAAGACUUGCAAGUCCUAUUUCUGAGCCAUAAUUCAAUAAGCAUGAUCUUUCAUUAAAACAUGGUUCAGACCACCCAAACAUGCAAACAGUAUAAGAGAUUUCAUGUUCCGAAAGCAUAAGUCAAAACUAUGCAAGAACUCUUCAAACAUAAACUGGUCAUGUGCUUUUAGCAAAUUCCAUGCACUCUUUCAUUAUAUGUACUUUCAACAUUUUUCAAUACAAACAACCCUCUCUUUGGAAUUCAAGAUUCAUAACCAAAUCAUUCAUAAAUUACGACACUUCAUAGCAUGCUUUUCAAGAUGCUUUUCAAAAACAAUCCAUAUCAUAUGAUAAGUAAGGAAAAUCAUAACAAGAGAGGGAUUUUCACAUGAAUCAUGCUCUCAAUUCAAUCAUCAACAUUAAAACAUGUACAUAUAUACGUAUAUCAAUUCAAAUAAAUUUGGGGAAGGCCUAAAGACCAAAACAAUUCCGUCAAAACUUCUAAAAAUAUAAUUAUUGUUUUGCGGAAAUUUUUGAUUUUUGAAAGAGUCACCACUUAAUUUUGAAAAGGAAUUAAGAAACCUUUACAAAACACUUUAAACAAUCUAAAACAGAAAAAUCGUUUAAGUUAAGAGAUUCUGAGUAAGCGGUUCCUAUUAACGUUUUAGGAAGGUGUUAGGCACCUAAAACCUCCGCUAACUUGCGGUUAUCCGGACUGUUUGAAAAUCGUCUUUGACUAACUUUGGAAAAAAGUUGAUAUCUGCAAAGAAAAGCAAUUUUAGUGAUAUUUUAGUAUUUAUGCAAAACCAAUUUUUAGGCGACUUAGUUAGGGAUUUUAACUAAGUUCGCAAAGAAACAUGUAAAUAAGUAAACAAAAGGAAAAGGGGAGAAAAGUAGGGAAGUAGUGAUUUAGGCUUCCAAGCCCAAACCAUCAGUCCUGUCCUAAUCUAGUUAGGUUUUCAACCCAUUUCACCUGUCUUAGUCUAGUUUUCGAGCCUUUGGCUCGAGUCUCGCUCCACCUGCAUUAAAUUUACAACUUUGGCUUCGAGGCCCCUAAUGAAUAAAGGAAUAUAUAAAUGAAUAAAAAUAAUCAAGGACAACAAUGAUUAACUAAAAUAAAAUAAAAUAACAAAUGAGACUUUUGUCUCUUAGCCGCUUCGAAUGUGGGAUUUCGACCCCUCCUUCUUCUUUCGACUCCUCUUACUUGUUCUUUAUAAUCAGCNNNNNNNNNNNNNNNNNNNNNNNNNNNNNNNNNNNNNNNNNNNNNNNNNNNNNNNNNNNNNNNNNNNNNNNNNNNNNNNNNNNNNNNNNNNNNNNNNNNNNNNNNNNNNNNNNNNNNNNNNNNAGAUAAAUUAUUCAACAAAAAAUACAACAUUUUAGGCAAAGGAAAACAGUGAUUCACUUGCUACCUAUAAACAUGUGGACUGUAAAAAAUGUCUAAAUACAUCAAUCUCAAGAUUAUGAAAAGUAUGGUUUGCAAUCGAGUCAAUUAGUUAAAGAAUGUGUCAAUCAUAACACUCACACAAAUAGAUCCACACACAACAAUCUCCACAUUAUUUUAAAGCAAUGUUAAGGAGCUUAAUUGACCAAGUCUCCACUACUUUUGAUCACGUAUGGUACCAAUAUAAUCAUAACAUUUUCAGAAAAGAGUUAAACCAGAUUAUUCAACGAAUAUAUGAGGCAAAUCAAUUCACUGACUUAAGUUGGGACCCAAAAAAAGAAAGCUAAUCAACGAUGGGAACAAUCAGCUUUAUGGAAACUAAGACCCUGUAUUUUUUGUAUCAAAAGAAAGAUAAGAGCAUUUUCAUAACAUGAUACUUGCAGAAAUUAAAGACAAAAAGUAAGGAUUUGACACCUUAAAGGUAAAUCCCAGUGUUUUCUUCUUGACAUUGUAAGUUAGGGAAAACAAAGUGAAGAGUCCUCUUUUAACUAAGAAACGAUGAGACGAACGAUGCUAAAAUGUGCGUAGAACUCGAAACAUCUUUUGCAAAAUAUCACUCGAAAAAGACAUAAAAUUUACAUCAUUCCGUAAUAACCAAGAGAUAUAAGAUUUACAUAAUUCUAUAAUAACCAUUCUGAGCAAUUAAGUAUCAACAGAGUAUGAAUAAUAGCAUCUCCAGAGAGGGUCAAAUAACUUUGAAUAGAGCAAAUUCUGGGCAAAUUUGUGCAACGUUCAUCAAAGCACAAACUUAACGUCCAUCAUCAACCCAAUCAUGACACAGGUAAGAUGAAGGAAAAAUAAUUUAAUGCCUCAUACACUAAUAGUACCUACACUAGGGAGGAAAAUUAACUUGAACAUGCAAAGGGAAUGCAUUUUCUUUUAGCUAAGCAACUUACAACCAACAAGAAAUGAAUGUGUUUAGAACAUUGCAAAAAAAACAGUGAACAUCUCUGCCUACCAAAACGUCAAUUGUCACCAUAUAAUAGCGAGAUAAAGCUGAAAAAUUUAAGAACUGAAUGGAAAGAACGUUACCUAUUCGGGGAGCAGCAAAAUGGGAACAAACGAGCUAUCAGCAGGGUCUCAACCACCAGAGAUCAGCCCUCAAUAUUUUGGACACCAAGACAAAAGAAGUGGGAGCAAAACUCCUUCAAAAUCCUCUUUGAAGAAAAGAAUGAGAUCCCCCAGAUUUUCAACUACGAUUUUUGACCUAAAUUUUGAAACAGAAUUCGAGUUCCCAAAGCUUUUUCUAAACACAAUUUCUAGAUCCUCCAAUUCUUUCCCUCUUAUAACCCUAGAGUCAAGACAAAAAAAAACUCCCCCUCACAGUGACCUGAUCAGUCUUUAUAUAGGACUCCAAAUUCGGGGGGAAUCUAGGUGUUUUGAAAGGGGAGUAAUUCAAAAUUUCACUCAGAUCAGGCUACCCCUAACAGAUUGUACCCCUUUGGACCAAAUUCUUGGAUGAUUCCCAAAUAGGUGGACCGAUCACCAUUGAAAAAAAUGAAUCCCCCCUUCCAACCACUAGAAAAAACCCAAAUAUGUACCAGAUUCGUACCCUAUCCCAAAAUUCAUGGAAUUGAACAUUGGAGGACGCCUCAACACUAUUCUAGAAGGUUCGAAAUUCCUCGACGUACGCAUUCACGUGGGGGUCACACAAUCCAUACGAACUGAUGGUGAAAGGAUGUAUUUGGGUUUUUUUCGGGUUGAAAAUGGGUCGAACUUGGGUCAAUGGAUUUGGGGUCGAUUUUAUGAUUUUUUCUGUUGUACUAUGAUAUUUGAUAUUGCUCUCCGUUGUUUGAGCAUAUUGUGAAGAGAAGGGAUGAAGGAUAAUCGGGUAUUUGGAGCUGAAGGGAUCGAGUUUCACUGUUGUUGGGGAAUGGGUCAUUUGGUUUAAAUCGUUUGUGGCUAAGGGUUUGAGAGUGGGCUUUGUUGAGAAGAUAAGGGGGGUUUGGACUGGGUUCUGAGAGUAUUGGGCCAAUUUGGGGGUUGGUAUUGCUGAUUGGAAAUAAUGAAGGGGAAUGGGCCACUGGAGUUGGUUGUUGCUUGGGCCCGGAAUUGUUAGUGUUGGGCCUGUUUAAUUAAAAAGGGAUAAAUGAGCUACUGUUUGAAGAAAAUAUGAAAUGGGCCUAGGUGUUUGGCAAAAUUGGGUUUAAAAUUGGGAUGGAUAGUUUAGAAAAAUAGUUUCAAUUAACAUUUAACCCAUUCUAAUUAAAUUUUGAUCAAAUUAAAGGCUAAUUGGCCAAAUGUAUUGCGAUUGUGGCCAAUUUUAUUUUCAAUUUAUGAUCAAAUUUAAUAGAUUGAUUAAAUUGAAUUGAAAUUAAAUACGAAUUAAUACUUCUUUUAAUCUCGAGUUUCUUGAUUUAAUAAAACCAAACAAUUAAUUCUCCAAAUAGAUUAUUUGUGAGAAUAAAUUAAAUUUAAAUCAAGAUUUAAUUAUUUAAAUUUAUUUUCCAAAUAAUCCUUAAUUUAAAGUCCAAUUUUGAUGAAAAUGUUCAUUUAAAUGACAUCAUUUGUACAAUGCAAAUACGAAAAUAAAUAAUUAUCACUUGAAUGACAAAAUUAACCCAACUACCUAUUUUAAAAUGCAUUUAUUUGGAAAAAAUAAUUGUUGUAGUUUUAUUUGAAAAUUGAAGAAACUCGAGAUUAAACGUAGUUGUGGAGGGCAAAAAUUAGGUGUCAACAACUGCCCCUCCCUUUGAGUAGGGUGGAUGUAAGUAACCCUGGGCAAAGGGAGGUUGACGUUCCUAAUUUUUGUCCGACCACAAAUUCAUUUCUAAACGAGGUUGGUUUUCCGCACGAGUUUCAGGAAUUAUGGCCGAACUUCGGUAUCAGGUUUCCUACAUAUCUCAGGCUUCAUGAGAAUUCAGGCCACUUGUUGUUCAUAAAUUUUGAUUUUGAGCAUGAUCUUCAAGAAAAUUCACCAAAUAUCACGGUUUUAGAGUGUUUUGGUUAAACCGAGAAGCUGGGGAAUACAGGGAUUUUGGGAGAAAUUGGAAUGCAGUCGAGUUUUCUACAUAGAUCCCAGCCCACAUAUCCUUGAGACUCAGGGAAUUAGACUGCUUGUAGUUCGACUCAAUCGGUAGAAAAGAUAGUCUUUUAUUUUAGAUGAUCUUUAGCUUGGGAUGAGUGACAAGUUAAUCGAGUUGCGGAAAAGAGGACUGUAACCUCUUAACCAUGAAUGUGGAGCUCUUCACAUCUAUAGGUAAGAACUUACGUAAGCAUAAUUUCCAAAACUCUAAGUGUGUUGCCACCCGAAAUUGAAAGAAAAAGAAAGUUCCCAUCAGUAUGAGUUAACAAACAUCCCAGAGGUAAAGGUGAGACAUGAAUAUCCGAAAAAUACCCACAUGCCUUCUAAUAGAGGCGUGGUUAAAUAGUGGUGGUGAUCAUCAUUUAGCUCGCUUCUAGAGAGUUUGAUAUCCCUCUCCAGACUAUGUCCUAUUUUGCUGCUGAAAAAGAGUUUCAUGUUGUGCUGCGUCCUUUUUGGAGUCGUCCACACCUGUGGUUUUGAUUUGAGAUUUUCAUCCUCUCGAAUGCUCUCGACAAUGCUUCAGGAAAAAAGUGUUAGUGUUAAACAUAAUUCACAAAAGAGGUAAGUAAUCUUUUACCAUAUCUCCACGUGAGUUGUGGCCUGAAAAGAGAAGUCAUCCUUUGUUGUACCUGUUUGAUGGGAAAUAACUUGCAAUAACAGACACAACAACCUCCUUGGUUGUUGUAUAAUUAGCUCAUCUGUCGAGCGAAUGUGUUUUCAAAGUGGGGUAGCCCUUUUGGUUACCUAUAUCACUUAUUAUAUGUGGCAUGAUAACCUCUCCGGUUGUAGCCGAUGAUUGAUUUAUAAAUUUUCGCUAAAUUGUCAAUCUUCAGAUGAUCUUGAGCAUUAUUUGAUGUUGGAUACGAGGCGACUUACAGAUAUCCUUUGAAUUUCUAGCUUUUAGGUAAUUCUGCACAUCAUCCAACUUUGGAUAAGAGAUGACUUACAAAUAUCCCUCCAAUCGCUAGCUUUCAGGUGUUCCUACACAUCAUCCGACCUUGGAUAUAAUAUGACUGAUAGAUAAUCCCUCAAAUUGAUCGUCUUUGGGUAAUCCUGCACAUAAUCGAUCUUGGAUAUGACGCGGCUUAUAGAGAACACUUGGACAUAUCAAUUUGACAAUCUUGCAUAUCCUCCGGUAAGGAUUUAGUUGCGACUUACGGAUAACCUUUGAACUAUCAACUUUUGGGCGAUCUUGCACACUAUCCCGUUAGGAUGUUAUUGUGGCUUACGGAUGACCUACAGGCUAUCAACUCAUAGGUGAUCUUGCACACUAUCCUAUUUCAAAUAAUAUGACUUAUAUAUGGCCUUCAAAUUGUCAAUUGCUAGGAAAUCUUAUAUCUCAUUCAUCCUUAGAUAGAGACCUAAAGGCGUUCCUCCAAAUCAUGUGAUCUUAAUGUAUUUAGAUGCUGAUUCAUGAAAAUAUGAUGAUAUCCUCGACGUUAGCAUUGUGUCUUGCGUGUUAAUAGAUAUAUUGAAUGCUGAUGAUAUCCUCGACGCCAGCAUUGUGUCUAGCGUGUCAACAAAUAUAUUGGAUGUUGAUGAUAUCCUCUAUGCCAGUGUUGUGUCUAGCAUGUCGACAGAUAUAUCGAAUACUGAUGAUAUCCUCGACACCAGCGUUGUGUCUAGCGUGUCGACAGAUAUAUUAGAUGCUGAUGAUAUCCUCUACGCCAGCGUUGUGUCUAGCGUGUCGAUAGAUAUAUUGAUGCUGAUGAUAUCCUCGAUACCAGCGUUGUGUCUAGUAUGUAGACAGAUAUAUUGGAUGCUGAUGAUAUCCUCUACGCCAGCGUUGUGUCUAGCGUGUCGACAGAUAUAGAAUAAUGAUAAUAUCCUCGAUGCCAGCGUUGUGUCUAGUGUAUCGACAGAUAUAGAAUGAUAAUGAUAUCCUCAACGCCAGCGUUGUGUCUAGCGCGUUAACAGAUAUUGAAUGAUGAUGAUAUCCUCGACGCCAGCGUUGUGUCUUGCGCGUCAACAGAUAUGUAAUGGCCUUUGCGGCAAUGAUAUGUGAUGGCCUUUGCGGUAAUGAUAUGCAAUGGCCAUUGUGGCAGUGAUAAAAUAAUUUUACCUGGCUUCAUUUAUCAGUGUCCUGCUUUCUACAUGUACCUGUACUCAAGGUAGACGAUUAGUAGACACAAAGUCACUUUUACUAGUGACUAUUUUUAGGAAAUUUCUAAAUACAAUAUGUGUAAAGAAGACAAAGUGCUUUUGUUUGUCGCCUACGAUCUCAAGAAAUGAGAUGGACAAAUCAAAAGGUCUUCAAUAAAUGGGCAUUAAACCUAUUUUUAGGGCUGCCCUAAAAUACUGCAUUAAUGAUCUGUUGUGGCUCCCAAUUUGCUCGAGGAUUUUUGAAAGAGACUCUCAUUUUGCGUAUUGAUCCCUGCAUCCACAGAAAAAUGAUUAGUUGAAUGAAAUUACUCCAUGUUGACCUUCUUCGAUCCUUGAUUUGCUCCUUGCCAUCUCUUGGGCAUUCCACCAUAUUGAGACUUCCACCCUGACACUCUAUCCCAAAUGAUGUCUAGGCAAACCCUGACACUCUAUCCCAAAUGAUAUCUAGGCAAGUACUAAGUAAGUGAGUCGUAAGAUUUUUGAAAAUAGUCUUAAAUUUUUGAAAAUAAUUUUGAAAACUUUUGUAAAAUUUUAGAAAAUUUNNNNNNNNNNNNNNNNNNNNNNNNNNNNNNNNNNNNNNNNNNNNNNNNNNNNNNNNNNNNNNNNNNNNNNNNNNNNNNNNNNNNNNNNNNNNNNNNNNNNNNNNNNNNNNNNNNNNNNNNNNNNNNNNNNNNNNNNNNNNNNNNNNNNNNNNNNNNNNNNNNNNNNNNNNNNNNNNNNNNNNNNNNNNNNNNNNNNNNNNNNNNNNNNNNNNNNNNNNNNNNNNNNNNNNNNNNNNNNNNNNNNNNNNNNNNNNNNNNNNNNNNNNNNNNNNNNNNNNNNNNNNNNNNNNNNNNNNNNNNNNNNNNNNNNNNNNNNNNNNNNNNNNNNNNNNNNNNNNNNNNNNNNNNNNNNNNNNNNNNNNNNNNNNNNNNNNNNNNNNNNNNNNNNNNNNNNNNNNNNNNNNNNNNNNNNNNNNNNNNNNNNNNNNNNNNNNNNNNNNNNNNNNNNNNNNNNNNNNNNAAAAUUUCUUCCCCAGUUUAAACUUGUUUGAGAUAAUACCAAUCUGAGUGGAUCUGAAGUCUUUGCUGAUCUUCAUUCUCUUUGUUGGAUGCCGAUCUUCUCUUGUGAAUUUUCGAGAUUCCUUCUCAAAAAUUCUGCCGCAGUUUCCAUUUUCUAGGGUUAUAUGACUGAGCUUUUGGGGCGCCUACGUAUCCCAUUGAAGUAGGAAUCAGGUCAAACGUAGUUCAGGCCUACGCUAGGGAUAUAUAUAGAAAAAUCUUAUGGGUUGACCGAAGCCAACAUAGGCCGCCUAUGUAUCCUUUUUUUUGGGAAUUCAGGUCAUCACAUAGUUCAUACAUAAAGAGAAACGAUAAAUUAUCCUAAGGGGUUGACCGAAGCUGACAUAGGUCGCCUACGUAUCCCUUUCUUGGGAAUUCAGGUCAAACGUAGUUCGUACAUAAAGAGAAAGGGUUCUAGGCAGUUACACACUAGCAAACAACAUUAUUACAAAGGUGAUUACAAAUAAACUAAGAAAGCACAAAAACUAGAAUGUCAUUCAAACAUAAUAUCUCUUUACCGCAUCAGAAUUGAUUGGUUUGGUCCACUCUGUACCAUCCAUCUCAGACAAAAUCAGAGCUCCUCCAGAUAGCACCUUGCGAACUAUGUAUGGCCCUUGCUAGUUUGGAGCAAACUUGCCCUUGUACUCCUCUUGAGGGAAUAUUCAUUUGAGAACCAGUUGCCCCACUUCAAAUGCUCGAGUUCUUACCUUCUUGUUAAAGGCACAAACCAUCCUGUGUUGAUACAUCUGACCAUGGCGUACAACGGCCAUUCUCUUUUCAUCAAUUAACAUGAAUUCUUCAUAGCGAGCACGGACCCAUUCUUCGUUACUCAAUCCAACUUCCUGAAUAAUCCUUAGGGAAGGUAUUUCGACCUCAGCGGGUAUCACAGCUUCAUUCCCAUAAACUAGUAAAUAAGGAGUUGCUCCUGUGGAGGUUCGAACUAUUGUUCGAUACCCUAUCAAGCCAUAAGGUAACAUCUCGUGCCAUGAUCUAUCAUUUUUGACCAUCUUUCUCAAGAUCUUCUUGAUAUUCUUGUUAGCAGCUUCUACGGCCCCAUUCAUUUGGGGACGGUAUGCUGUCGAGUUGCGAUGCACAAUCUUGAACUGAUCACAAAUUUCUUUCAUCAAGUAACUGUUCAGGUUUGCCCCAUUAUCAGUAAUAAUCAAUUUCGGCACUCCGAAUCGGCAAAUCAAGUUAUUCCUGACAAAAUCUGCAACCACUUUCUUAGUGACGGCUCUGUACGAAGCAGCUUUGACCCACUUAGUGAAAUAAUCAAUGGCAACCAAAAUAAAUCUAUGCCCAUUCGAUGCUAGUGGUUCUAUUGGUUCGAUGACAUCUAUGCCCCAAGCUAUGAAAGGCCAAGGAGAAUUCAUUGCGUGAAGCUUGUGUGGAGGCAUUCUAAUCAGAUCUCCGUGUAUUUGACAUUUUGNNNNNNNNNNNNNNNNNNNNNNNNNNNNNNNNNNNNNNNNNNNNNNNNNNNNNNNNNNNNNNNNNNNNNNNNNNNNNNNNNNNNNNNNNNNNNNNNNNNNNNNNNNNNNNNNNNNNNNNNNNNNNNNNNNNNNNNNNNNNNNNNNNNNNNNNNNNNNNNNNNNNNNNNNNNNNNNNNNNNNNNNNNNNNNNNNNNNNNNNNNNNNNNNNNNNNNNNNNNNNNNNNNNNNNNNNNNNNNNNNNNNNNNNNNNNNNNNNNNNNNNNNNNNNNNNNNNNNNNNNNNNNNNNNNNNNNNNNNNNNNNNNNNNNNNNNNNNNNNNNNNNNNNNNNNNNNNNNNNNNNNNNNNNNNNNNNNNNNNNNNNNNNNNNNNNNNNNNNNNNNNNNNNNNNNNNNNNNNNNNNNNNNNNNNNNNNNNNNNNNNNNNNNNNNNNNNNNNNNNNNNNNNNNNNNNNNNNNNNNNNNNNNNNNNNNNNNNNNNNNNNNNNNNNNNNNNNNNNNNNNNNNNNNNNNNNNNNNNNNNNNNNNNNNNNGAAUUUCUCCACUUGGAAAGUAAUUCUUUGCCAAACGCCGAAUUGUCUUCUUUUGGUUAUUACUAGCCUCUUCAGGAUAUAUUCCAGAUUCCAAAUACCUCUUAAUGUCAUAGUACCAAGGCCUUCUAUCAGGCUCCUCUUCCACGUGUAUGCAAUGCGCGGGUUGCUUCUUCAGGCUUAUUUCUAAAGGAUCGAUGUAACUCUGAUCCGGGUGCUGAAUAAUGGAAGAUAUCGUGGCCAAAGCAUCAGCAAACUCGUUUUGUGUCCGUGGAAUAUGUCUGAAAUCAACAUCCUUAAAUCUUCCGCAUAAUUCUUGCACCAGCUCCACAUAAGGACUAAUCUUAGAGUUUUUUACUGCCCAUUCUCCCUGUACCUGGUGAAUCAGCAAAUCUGAAUCUCCGAUGGCUAGCAAUUCAUGAACACCCAUAUCAAGUGCCAAUUUGAGCCCCAAGAUGUAAGCUUCAUAUUUAGCAAUGUUGUUGGUGCAUGAAAAACGUAACUUAGCAGUUACCGGAUAAUGUUGGCCCAUUUCUAACACCAAAACUACUCCAAUUCCUGAAUCUUUGAAGUUGACCUCCCCAUAAAAAAUAGCCUCCAUCUGGGGUAGAUUUCCAUGAUAUCUUCUCCUAUGAACAAAACUUCCUCAUCUGGAAAGUAUUUCCGAAGUGGCUCGUAUUCCUCAUCAACUGGGUUUUCAUCCAAAUGAUCUGAUAAGGCUUGCCCCUUGAUUGCUUUUUGGGUUACAUACACAAUGUCAAACUCACUCAGCAACAUUUUCCACUUGGCUAGCUUUCCUGUAGGCAUGGCCUUCUGGAAUAUAUACUUCAAUAGAUCCAUUCUCGAGAUGAGGUAAGUUGUGUAGGACGACAGAUAAUGCCUCAACUUUUGUGCGGUCCAAGUCAAAGCACAACAUGUCCUUUCUAUAAGAGUGUAACGGGCUUCAUAUGGUGUGAACUUUUUACUCAAGUAGUAAAUGGCUUUCUCUUUCCUGCCGGUCUCAUCAUGUUGCCCGAGGACGCAUCCGAAAGCAUUUUUUGAGACUGACAGGUAAAGUAAUAAUGGAAUUCCUUCUCUCGGUGGGACCAAAAAUAGUGGUGCAGACAAGUAUUCCUUGAUGCGAUCAAAAGCUCUCUUUCAUUCUUCUAUCCACUCAUUCAGUGCAUUUUUCUUCAACAUCUUGAGAAUUGGCUCGCAUAUGACUGUUGAUUGAGUGAUGAAUCUGCUAAUGUAAUUUAGAUGACCCAGGAAACUCAUAACUUUUUUCUUGGUCCUCGGCGGUGGCUAGUCUUGAAUUGUCUUGAUUUUGGAUGGGUCUAGCUCAAUCCUCCUUCUGCUGGCUAUGAACCCUAGCAACUUCCAUGAUGGCACACCAAAAGCACACUUAGCAGGAUUUAUCUUCAAACUGUACCUUCUUAAUUUGUUGAAGAAUUUCUCCAGAUGAGUUAGAUGAUCCGAACUCCCGCGAUAUUUGAUAAUUACAUCAUCCACGUACACCUCAAUCUCCUUAUGGAUCAUAUCAUGGAAAAUCAUCGUCAUGGCCCUCAAAUAUGUCGCACCUGCGUUCUUGAGACCAAACGGCAUUACCCUGUAAUCAUAAACACGCCAGGGCAUAAUAAAAGCCAUUUUUUCUGCAUCUUCCUCAUCCAUCAGUAUCUGAUGAUAGCCGGCGAAACAAUCAAUGAAUGACUGCAUUUUAUGUUUUGUACAGUUAUUUAUGAGAAUUUGGAUGUUGGGCAACGGAAAAUUAUCUUUAGGACUGGCUCUGUUCAAGUCUCUAUAGUCAACACAAAUUUGAAUCUUGCCAUCUUUCUUUGGCACAGGGACGAUGUUGGCCAACCAUGUCGGAUAUUUUGUGACCUCGACAACCUUAGACUGGAUUUGUUUUGUCACUUCUUCCUUGAUCUUUAGACUUAAAUUUGGCUUGAAUUUUCUCAUUUUUUGCUUGACUGGAUCAAACUCAGAAUUUAUCAGCAAUUUAUGUGACACAAUGGUUGGAAAUUUGGUUUCGCUCUAUCCUAGGUAUCUAGAGUGGGUUUGAACACUGGUUCUCAAGCGGACAACUUGAGUUUGAAAAUACAAACAACCAUCAGACGACUCGCGUGCUAAUAAAUUGUUUGUAUUUCCAACACAUUUUUGGAAUUGAUCAAUAGGGGCCGGGAUACCCACGAAACCCCAAAACAGUUUAAAUAAUGUAGGAAUAUGCCAUGAGAUGUGAUAUUUAAAUUCUACAGAAUCGAAACACAUAAAUACAUAAACAAUUAAUCAAAAGACGAAAUCAAACAUUUGGUUAGAACCUAGUCAAAAAUCAGCAGAGUCGCCAUUUCUAUUUUGCGGAAAUUUUUGAUUUUUGAAAGAGUCGCCACUUAAUUUUGAAAAGGAAUUAAGAAACCUUUAUAAAACACUUUAAACGAUCUAAAUAGAAAAACCAUUUAAGUUAAGAGAUUCUGAGUAAGUGGUUCCUAUUAACGUUUUAGAAAGGUGUUAGGCACCUAAAAUGUCCGCUAACUUGCGGUUAUCUGGACUGUUUGAAAAUCGUCUUUGACUAACUUUGGAAAAAAGUUGAUUUCUGCAAAGAAAAGUAAUUUUAGUGAUAUUUUAGUGUUUAUGCAAAACCAGUUUUUUAGGUGACUUAGUUAGGGAUUUUAACUAAGUUCGCAAAGAAACAUGUAAAUAAGUAAAUGAAAGGAAAAGGGGAGAAAAGUGGGGAAGUAGUGAUUUAGGCUUUCAAGCCCAAACCAUCGGCCCUGUCCUACUCUAGUUAGGUUUUCAACCCAUUUCACCUAUCUUAAUCUAGUUUUCGAGCCUUUGGCUCGAGUCUCGCUCCACCUGCACUAAAUUUACAACUUUGGCUUCGAGGCCCCUAAUGAAUAAGGGAAUAAAAAUAAACAAGGACAACAAUGAUUAACUAAAAUAAAAUAAAAUAACAAAUGAGACUUUUGUCUCUUAGCCGCUUCGAAUGUGGGAUUUCGACCCCUCCUUCUUCUUUCGACUCCUCUUACUUGUUCUUUAUAAUCAGCGUUCAAAGUCUUCUAAAGGGGGUGAGCCUCAAUGGCCCAAUUCAUAAUGUGAGAGUCCAAUGGGACUCCCAAGCGGGUUCAAGCAAAGAAAAAGGUGAAUGAAUUAAUGUAUGUUCUCAAGAGUCCUUACAUUUAUAGAUAAAUUAUUCAACAAAAAACACAACAUUUUAGGCAAAGGAAAACAGUGAUUCACUUGCUACCUAUAAACAUGUGGACUGUAAAAAAAUGUCUAAGUAUAUCAAUCUCAAGAUUAUGAAAAGUAUGGCUUGCAAUCGAGUCAAUUAGUUAAAUAAUGUGUCAAUCAUACCACUCACACAAAUAGAUCCACACACUACAAUCUCCACAUUAUUUUAAAGCAAUGUUAAGGAGCUUAAUUGACCAAGUCUCCGCUACUUUUGAUCACGUAUGGUACCAAUAUAAUCAUAAAAUUUUCAGAAAAGAGUUAAACCAUAUUNNNNNNNNNNNNNNNNNNNNNNNNNNNNNNNNNNNNNNNNNNNNNNNNNNNNNNNNNNNNNNNNNNNNNNNNNNNNNNNNNNNNNNNNNNNNNNNNNNNNNNNNNNNNNUAAGAGCAUUUUCAUAACAUGAUACUUGCAGACAUUAAAGACAAAAAGUAAGGAUUUGACACCUGAAAGGUAAAUCCCAGUGUUUUCUUCUUGACAUUGUAAGUCAGGGAAAACAAAGUGAAGAGUCCUCUUUUAACCAAGAAACGACGAGACGAACGAUGCUAAAAUGUGCGUAGAACUCGAAACAUCUUUUGCAAAAUAUCACUCGAAAAAGACAUAAAAUUUACAUCAUUCCGUAAUAACCAAGAGAUAUAAGAUUUACAUAAUUCUAUAAUAACCAUUCUGAGCAAUUAAGUAUCAACAGAGUAUGAAUAAUAGCAUCUCCAGAGAGGGUCAAAUAACUCUGAAUAGAGCAAAUUCUGGGCAAAUUUGCGCAACGUUCAUCAAAGCACAAACUUAACGUCCAUCAUCAAACCAAUCAUGGCACAGGUAAGAUGACGGAAAAAUAAUUUAAUGCCUCAUACUCUAACAGUACCUACACUAGGGAGGAAAGUUAACUUGAACAUGCAAAGGGAAUGCAUUUUCUUUUAGAUAUAGCAACUUACAACCAACAAGAAAUGAAUGUGUUUAGAACAUUGCAAAGAAAACAGUGAACAUCUCAGCAUACCAAAAUGUCAAUCGUCACCAUAUAAUAGCGAGAUAAAGCUGAAAUAUUUAAGAACUGAAUGGAAAGAACGUUACCUGUUCGGGGAGAAGCAAAAUGGGAACAAAUGAGCUAUCAGCAGUGUCUCAACCACCAGAGAUCAGCCCUCAAUCUUUCGGACACCAAUACAAAAGAAGUGAGAACAAAACUCCCUCAAAAUCCUCUUUGAAGAAAAGAAAGAGCCCCCCCAGAUUUUUAACUACGAUUUUUGACCUAAAUUUUGAAACAGAAUUCGAGUUCCUAAACCUUUUUCUAAACACAAUUUCUAGACCCUCCAAUUCUUUCCUUCUUAGAACCCUAGAGUCAAGACAAAAAAAACCUCCCCCUCACAGUGACCUGAUCAGUCUUUAUAUAGGGCUCCAAAUUCGGGGGGAAUCUAGGUGUUUCGAAAGGGGAGUAAUUCAAAAUUUCACUCAGAUCAGGCUACCCCUAACAGAUUGUACCCCUUUGGACCAAAUUCUUGGAUGAUUCCCAAAUAGGUGGAUCAAUCACCAUUGGAAAAAAUGAAUCCCCCCUUCCAACCACUAAAAAACACCCAAAUAUGUACCAGAUUCGUACCCCUAUCCUGAAAUUUAUGGAAUUGAACGUUGGAGGACACCUCAACACUAUUCUAGAAGGU
rnacentral:lncRNA from 1 species